AUUUUGUUAAGCUUCUUAUCAACAGGAAGCAAAUUGUUGCUGCAGUUAGCUUCAGUUUUGCAUAUGACUUGGAUGACAAGGAUCAUUUAGUUGAUAUGUUACGAGAAUACGUCAAAAAUGCCAAACUGAUUUGUGAGAGCAGUUGCAAGAAAUCAAACUCCAUUGAAAUCAAGGAUAAGGCCAGAGAUGAAGAAAUUGCUAGUCUUGGGACUGUUCUGCAAUGCAUUUCUGAUAGCAACCUUGAAUCUACGGGUCUGCUUCAUAAGGAGAUUGAAUAUCGCAUUCUUGAGCUAAAAGCACAUAAAGGCUAUUAGUUAUUGGACUGGAACAAGCUAAUGGAAAGAAUGAAAACAAAUGCGGUAAUGGAAAUAUGCUAACUUAAUUUGAUUUAAUUGACUUUGACGCGACUCUCUCUCUUUCUUAUUCUGUGUAAAAGGUGUUAAUUGGAAAGAAUGAAAACUCAUGAUAUAGUUAACAGGGUUACCUUUAUUUCUUGGCUUUC